rnacentral:rRNA from 1 species
CUAGCGACUUCAGAGUUUGAUCCUGGCUCAGGAUGAACGCUGGCGGCACGCCUAACACAUGCAAGUCGAACGAAGUGUGAGGAAGCUUGCUUCCAAUCACUUAGUGGCGGACGGGUGAGUAACACGUGAGCAACCUGCCUCUUGGUUUGGGAUACCGUUUGGAAACGAACGUUAAUACCGAAUAAUAUAGCGGAUUCGCAUGUUUCUGCUAUCAAAGAUUUAUUGCCAAGAGAUGGGCUCGCGUCUGAUUAGAUAGUUGGUGAGGUAACGGCCCACCAAGUCGACGAUCAGUAGCCGGACUGAGAGGUUGAACGGCCACAUUGGGACUGAGACACGGCCCAG